UUAAUGUAGCUUAAAUUUUUAUAAAGCAAGACACUGAAAAU
rnacentral:tRNA from 1 species